GCCCCGGUGGUGUAGUCCGGCCUAGCAUCGCGGACUGUCACUCCGCGAAGGGAGUUCAGGUUUCCCGCCUCCCGUGAACCCGGGUUCAAAUCCCGGCCGGGGCGCCA
rnacentral:tRNA from 1 species